UACGUAGGGCGCAAGCGUUGUCCGGAAUUAUUGGGCGUAAAGAGCUCGUAGGUGGUUUGUUACGUCUGCUGUGAAAACCUAGGGCUUAACCCUGAGCCUGCAGUGGAUACGGGCAGACUAGAGGUAGGUAGGGGAGAAUGGAAUUCCCGGUGUAGCGGUGAAAUGCGCAGAUAUCGGGAGGAACACCGGUGGCGAAGGCGGUUCUCUGGGCCUUACCUGACGCUGAGGAGCGAAAGCGUGGGGAGCGAACAGG
rnacentral:rRNA from 1 species